CAGGACGAACGCUGGCGGCGUGCUUAACACAUGCAAGUCGAGCGAUGAAGUUUCCUUCGGGAAACGGAUUAGCGGCGGACGGGUGAGUAACACGUGGGUAACCUGCCUCAUAGAGGGGAAUAGCCUUUCGAAAGGAAGAUUAAUACCGCAUAAGAUUGUAAUGCCGCAUGGCAUAGCAAUUAAAGGAGCAAUCCGCUAUGAGAUGGACCCGCGUCGCAUUAGCUAGUUGGUGAGGUAACGGCUCACCAAGGCGACGAUGCGUAGCCGACCUGAGAGGGUGAUCGGCCACAUUGGGACUGAGACACGGCCCAGACUCCUACGGGAGGCAGCAGUGGGGAAUAUUGCACAAUGGGGGAAACCCUGAUGCAGCAACGCCGCGUGAGUGAUGACGGUCUUCGGAUUGUAAAGCUCUGUCUUUAGGGACGAUAAUGACGGUACCUGACGGGGAAGCCACGGCUAACUACGUG
rnacentral:rRNA from 1 species